rnacentral:lncRNA from 1 species
UGCCUCUGAGAUUCAAUCAUAAACUACUUUGCCUCGGUUGCAUGUAAACUCCCCCUUCACCCCACCCCCUAAAGUGGUAAAGAAGGGCUCUUUGGGGUAUAAUUUUCUUUCUAUCUCUCAGGACAAACAAAUAGGAAGGGAUGGUUCUUUCAUUGCAUUGAUAGAAGUCUAACUAGAAAAAGAUCUAUCUAUUACUUUGAGAAGAGAAUCUUUGGUUUGAUUGACGAACUACGUGGGAAAAUGAACCUUCUUUCUUUUAUU